AUGUGCCCCGGUCGGGCGCGUUCCGUAGCAGAGCCGCACAAGGGGUUUUCCGCAGCCUGGGAAGCCUCAAGGGAUCGCCGAGAGCACCCGGAGGCCGCCACCCCGAUUGCGAGCAGCUGCCGCGGCGUGGGCGGGGCGAGCAGGAGCAGCGGCCACCCCCCACUCUUCCAUAGGCAGCUCCAAGGCAGCGAGAGCCACCAGUGUAUGGGGCAGCAAGCAGGGGCCGGUGCGGCACUGCGCCUCGGAGGGCGCAGGGAGGGGGCCCCCACGGUAGGGAGGGACGGUCCGCGGGCCAAGCCGGAGGCAGAAUUCCUAUUUGAAGUGGAUGACCUGGCCACAUGCGAAGCAUCUUCUCAAAGCCUGUCCCUGCUAGGAUUUAGGCUGCAACACAGAUGA
rnacentral:lncRNA from 1 species